AGGUCUAGUUUGGUUGUUGUUAUUACUCCGUGCUUGCUGUCUUCGGCGGUAGUGAGUUGGGCUCUACAGUACCUUAACCUUAGCCUAUAUCGCUUGCACCUAAAGCAGUCUUGUUCAUUUCAUUACGAAAUUGCUUAUUACAUUAUUUGAUAUGAUUAUAUAUUACAUUAUUUGAUAUGAUUAUAUAAUAUUGAUUAUUCUUUUCACGUAUGUAGUAUUGAUUGGUAUUUGAGAGUAUUUUAUUAGCGGAACUAGACUCAACAGAAGCAAGUUCUAUUUCCGUUUUUGUAUAAAAGAAGAUAUUUUCUAUUCUCAUUGAACAGAGGAGCUAUGGUGCCAGUGUGAAGUAAACAUCAUUAUCAUAUAUUAACUAAAUUAUGAUUAGUCAACCGCAUUCUUCUUAGUAUCGGUUAAACUCACGCUAUUGACUUUGAUUCCUCUUAUUGGCAAUAUCGGACUUACCCGCUUGCAACCGGACUACUAGAACGCAGGAGCUAAACUCGAAAGAUACACCCAUUAGAUUGAAAACACCGGUAGCAGGCCUUACUUUUGGUUAUAACUCUACCCUUUUGCUCUGUGGCUCAAUACUUAAGACUUAGGGUGGAAAGUCAGCCUAGUUGCCGGGAGAGUAGGGCUGGCAGUGUGCAUUUCGCCUUAAGGGAAGCCUUAGAAGCACUAGCCGCAGGCCUAUGGUUAGGUAGCUGAACUCUUCUUGGUAGUAGUGAAAGCCUUAUUAGUAUUAGUGGAUUUCCCUGUUAGUAGUACAGGUCUUGUUAGCCAGGUUUUCUAUCCUUAUGUGCCCGAGCUCAAUUACUGUUAGCAAAGGAAGAAGAUCUAGAUGUUAAAUAAGUCAGAU
rnacentral:lncRNA from 1 species